rnacentral:rRNA from 1 species
UACGAAGGGGGCUAGCGUUGCUCGGAAUCACUGGGCGUAAAGCGCACGUAGGCGGCUUUCUAAGUCAGGGGUGAAAUCCUGGAGCUCAACUCCAGAACUGCCUUUGAUACUGGAGAGCUUGAGUUCGGGAGAGGUGGGUGGAACUGCGAGUGUAGAGGUGAAAUUCGUAGAUAUUCGCAAGAACACCAGUGGCGAAGGCGGCUCACUGGCCCGAUACUGACGCUGAGGUGCGAAAGCGUGGGGAGCAAACAGGG